GGAGCGGUGCAGGAGUGGUUGAACUGGCGGCACUGGAAAUGCCGUGUCCUGGUAACCCCGGGACCGUGGGUUCGAAUCCCACCCGCUCCGCCA
rnacentral:tRNA from 1 species